GUUAUCUUUUAUAAUCUCAUAAGGCAAUAGUUAAGGUGUCUUUCUGCUGGCCUGGCCCCGAAGAACCAGACCAAAAAACAAUACGGUGCACAGAGGUGUAUGGAGGACUCCGUCAGGCUUGCGCCGUCGGGUAUCGACUCCAAAAUCAGUAAUGAUCCAACCGCAGGUUCACCUACGGUUA
rnacentral:misc_RNA from 1 species